CCACCACUGCGGAUAUCUGAGACAGGAUGUGUGAAUCAGAAUGUGAAUACUUUAUUAAUCCCAGAGGAAAUGAUGUGGGCACAGCGCUCCAGAUGAACAAGGUGUGGACUAUAUAAUGACGACUAUAACUAUUAUUCUACCUGUGCCUGUGUGGUGUAUGUUCCAUUGUGCAGCUCCAGAAAGAGCUCCCCCGCCCACGUGCACAGCAGAGCUGAGUCAGCCUGCAGCCGAGUGAAAAGCUCAUCAGGAGUGGACAUCUGGACUCUGGAGAGACGAGCACGAGCUAUGACAUCGCUGGUUAAACCUUUGUUAGUUAUAUGACGCAAAUACUGAAUGACUCAAUGACUCUAUUGAAAUUGAAUCUAUUGUAAUAUUUUGUAAAAAUAACAAAAUGACAUAGCUAGACAUAUCAUAUCCUUUUGAUUAUUUUUUUACUUAGACAAGCUUGAAUCUGCCUGACUUACACACCCUUCCCUUUAAAAAGUCCUGGAAAUGACAAAAGAAGAGUUGUGACUAAAUCAAUCAAGAGAAGUGUUUCUGGAUCAUUUCUGGGUUUUGGUCAUUGUUACUAAUGAAUUACGGGUUAAUGUAAGAGACAGGAACUUACUUAGGAAGUCCAUUUGUGUCCUGAACAAGGCGCA